AGCGAACGCUGGCGGCAUGCCUAACACAUGCAAGUCGAACGAGACCUUCGGGUCUAGUGGCGCACGGGUGCGUAACGCGUGGGAAUCUGCCCUUGGGUUCGGGGUAACAGUUGGAAACGACUGCUAAUACCGGAUGAUGACUUCGGUCCAAAGAUUUAUCGCCCAGGGAUGAGCCCGCGUCGGAUUAGCUAGUUGGUGAGGUAAAGGCUCACCAAGGCGACGAUCCGUAGCUGGUCUGAGAGGAUGAUCAGCCACACUGGGACUGAGACACGGCCCAGACUCCUACGGGAGGCAGCAGUGGGGAAUAUUGGACAAUGGGCGAAAGCCUGAUCCAGCAAUGCCGCGUGAGUGAUGAAGGCCUUAGGGUUGUAAAGCUCUUUUACCCGGGAUGAUAAUGACAGUGCCGGGAGAAUAAGCCCCGGCUAACUCCGUGCCAGCAGCCGCAGUAAGAC
rnacentral:rRNA from 1 species